AUUGAACGCUGGCGGCAGGCCUAACACAUGCAAGUCGAGCGGAUGAAGGGAGCUUGCUCCUGGAUUCAGCGGCGGACGGGUGAGUAAUGCCUAGGAAUCUGCCUGGUAGUGGGGGAUAACGUCCGGAAACGGGCGCUAAUACCGCAUACGUCCUGAGGGAGAAAGUGGGGGAUCUUCGGACCUCACGCUAUCAGAUGAGCCUAGGUCGGAUUAGCUAGUUGGUGGGGUAAAGGCCUACCAAGGCGACGAUCCGUAACUGGUCUGAGAGGAUGAUCAGUCACACUGGAACUGAGACACGGUCCAGACUCCUACGGGAGGCAGCAGUGGGGAAUAUUGGACAAUGGGCGAAAGCCUGAUCCAGCCAUGCCGCGUGUGUGAAGAAGGUCUUCGGAUUGUAAAGCACUUUAAGUUGGGAGGAAGGGCAGUAAGUUAAUACCUUGCUGGUUUGACGUUACCGACAGAAUAAGCACCGGCUAACUUCGUG
rnacentral:rRNA from 1 species